GUGUUUUCCUUCUAAGGGGUUUCCUACUAUGCUGCCGCCGCCAUGAGGGUCAUGUAGAGGACACCUCCUUCUCUGCCUCCGACAUCCGAUGUCGGCAGCUCCUUGCUCUCAUGCAUGAGGCCUCAUGCGAGCACGAUGACUUCCCCUCCCCCUUUCUCCUCUAUUGUCGACGUCGUUUCUCUCACCCGCCGCCAUAGCGACGCACGCCUCUCUCCUCUACGAGGUUCUUUUGUUGGAGGCCACGCAAAUCCGACGAAGCCAGCUCUGGUAGAUAUCCCCUUCCUCUCUCUUCUUCCUCACGUCACCAAGCCGCCUCUCAUACGCCAUUGCCACAAGUUAUGCACGUUGCCGACCCCUCUUCUUCUCCUCUUUGGCACCAUUAAAGCAGAGGGACACUUCUUCUCCCCUAGUUGUUGCUCACCAUAGCAGGAAGACGACCUUACACCUUCUUCGCUGCCAACCACACAGCAGAUUCAGGUCAUCGUCGUCUCCCCUGACAUAUUCCCUCUUGCACGCAGGGCCCCUCCUCUUCCUCAUCUCCUCCUUCCUUGCACAUCCUCAAUAGAACCGACACCGCCAUCUCCAUCAUCUCCUCCACUGCGCUGGCCUCCACAGGCUGCUGUCGUGAGUCGCCUCGCAGUCCCCACUGUGGGUUAGGUCGGCGCCACACCUGUCGUCUCCCUCUCCCGUAGUACACCAGCGCCCACAGCCGCUUCCAACGACCACCGCCUUCCGGGCCACCGGUAGCCAAGCGCUGCCUCCAUCUCCCUCUUUUCCAACGUCCACAGCCGCCUAUUGGCGAUCUCCUCCAGGACGCCGCAACCCCGCCUCUCUUGCCGCCUCAUCGCAGGCCACCUCUGGGUCGUCCACCAUGUCGUGCGCCUUUGAGGUUGAGCGGGCCUCCGCGCCCUCGCUACCCGUGGGCUCCUAUCUGAUCGUGCUCCGUCUUUGUUAUGUUCCGGUCUUUGUGUCAUCCGACCUGUGUGUUAGAUUCUGAGUUGUGUCAUAUCUCGGCCAGUGUGCCGAUAUCAUGUUCCGACUUUCGUGCCGUCAUUGUAUCCCGACCUACGUGCCGUUAAUACCUCCCGGCCUGUGUGCCGCUAGUACCUUCUGGCCUGCGUGCCACUAUUAUCUCCUGACCUACAACUCGUCUUCCGGCUCUGUGUCGCGUCCUGCUCUGUUUCGUCAGAUCCAACCCUUCAUCCUGCUCAGAGUCAUCUACUCUUCCGGGUUACGACAACUCGAGCAGCGUCCCAUCCGAGGCGCUCCCCUUGGCCAGGGGACCAGGGCGACUUGAUCACUGGUUGUAGGUAGCGUUGACCAAAGGACUUCUGACGACUUGGUCAACACAGAAGUCAUCUCAGCAUACCCCCUUCCGGGAUGUCGCGAUUCGGUCAACAUUUCAUUUACCUCACUCCGACGGUCCGUUUGACUUAGAUUCCAGACAUAAUCAUUAUUAUUAUUAUUAUUAUUAUUAGUAGUAGUAGUUGAUAUUAUGUAUUCAACAUACGCUCAUUAAUCUUGGGUUAA